UACGUAGGGGGCAAGCGUUGUCCGGAUUUAUUGGGCGUAAAGAGCGUGUAGGCGCCAGACAGGUCCACUGUGAAAACUCGAGGCUCAACCUCGAGAGGUCGGUGGAAACCGUCUGGCUAGAGUCCGGAAGAGGAGAGUGGAAUUCCCGGUGUAGCGGUGAAAUGCGCAGAUAUCUGCAGGAACACCCGUGGCGAAAGCGGCGCGCUGGACCACUACUGACGCUGAGGAACGAAAGCUAGGGGAGCAAACAGG
rnacentral:rRNA from 1 species